rnacentral:SRP_RNA from 1 species
GCCAGGCACAGGGGCUCAUGCCUGUAAUCCCAGCACUUUGGGAGGCUGAGGCGGGAGAAUGGCUUGAACCCAGGAGGCAGAAGUUGCAGUGAGCCAAGAUCACGCCCCGGCACUUUAGCCUGGGUGAAAGAGCAAGCCUCCGUCUUAAAAAAAAAAAAAAAAAAGAAGAAGAAGANNNNNNNNNNUCUUCUUCUUCUUUUUUUUUUUUUUUUUUAAGACGGAGGCUUGCUCUUUCACCCAGGCUAGAGUGCAGUGGCGUGAUCUUGGCUCACUGCAACUUCUGCCUCCUGGGUUCAAGCCAUUCUCCCGCCUCAG